rnacentral:rRNA from 1 species
UACGUAGGGGGCAAGCGUUGUCCGGAUUCAUUGGGCGUAAAGGGUGUGUAGGUGGCGCCGUAAGUCGGGUGUGAAAUUUCGGAGCUUAACUCCGAAACUGCAUUCGAUACUGCGGUGCUUGAGGACUGGAGAGGAGACUGGAAUUCAUGGUGUAGCAGUGAAAUGCGUAGAUAUCAUGAGGAAUACCAGAGGCGAAGGCGGCUACCUGGACAAUUGCUGACGCUCAGGCACGAAAGCGUGGGGAGCAAAAGGG